rnacentral:rRNA from 1 species
CCCUUAGAUGUUCGGGGCUGCACGCGCGCUACACUGAUGUGUCCAGUAAGCACCUAACCUCUUCCGAAAGGAACGGGUAACCUUUGCAAAGCACAUCGUGAUGGGGAUAGAUUAUUGCAAUUAUUAGUCUUGAACGAGGAAUUCCUAGUAAGCACAAGUCAUCAGCUUGUGUUGAUUACGUCCCUGCCCUUUGUACACACCGCCCGUCGCUCCUACCGAUUGAAUGUUCCGGUGAGCUCUUCGGACUGCGCGGUCUGCAGUUUCUGCGUUCCGUGCGGAAAGUUGCGCAAACCUUAACAUUUAGAGGAAGGAGAAGUCGUAACA